AUUGAACGCUGGCGGCAGGCCUAACACAUGCAAGUCGAACGAGUGGCGGACGGUUGAGUAAUGUCUGGGAAACUGCCUGAUGGAGGGGGCUAACUACUGGAAACGGUAGCUAAUACCGCAUACCAUCAGAUGUGCCCAGAUGGGAUUAGCUUGUUGGUGGGGUAAAGGCUCACCAAGGCGACGAUCCCUAGCUGGUCUGAGAGGAUGACCAGCCCGAAGGGAAAUGAGAAACGGGCCAGACUGCUACGGGAGGCAGCAGUGGGGAAUAUUGCACAAUGGGCGCAAGCCUGAUGCAGCCAUGCCGCGUGUAUGAAGAAGGCCUUCGGGUUGUAAAGUAAUUUCAGCGGGGAGGCGUUACCCGCAGAAGAAGCACCGGCUAACUCCGUGCCAGCAGCCGCGGUAAUAC
rnacentral:rRNA from 1 species